rnacentral:rRNA from 1 species
CCUACGGGUGGCAGCAGUGAGGAAUAUUGGUCAAUGGGCGCGAUCCUGAACCAGCCAAGCAGCGUGAAGGAAGACUGCCCUAUGGGUUGUAAACUUCUUUUAUCGGGGAAUAAAACGCGGUACGUAUCCCGCUCUGCAUGUAUCCUAUGAAAAAGCAUCGGCUAACUCCGUGCCAGCAGCCGCGGUAAUACGGAGGAUCCGAGCGUUAUCCGGAUUUAUUGGGUUUAAAGGGUGCGUAGGCGGUCCGUUAAGUCAGCGGUAAAAUUGCGGGGCUCAACCCCGUCGAGCCGUUGAAACUGGCAGCCUUGAGUAGGCGAGAAGUACGCGGAAUGCGCGGUGUAGCGGUGAAAUGCAUAGAUAUCGCGAAGAACUCCGAUUGCGAAGGCAGCGUACCGGCGCGAGACUGACGCUGAGGCACGAAAGUGUGGGGAUCGAACAGGAUUAGAUACCCUUGUAGUC